rnacentral:rRNA from 1 species
AAGCGGCAAAGCUCAAAUUUGAAAUCUGGCUCUUUCAGAGUCCGAGUUGUUAUUUGAAGAAGGUAUCUUUGGGUCUGGCUCUUGUCUAUGUUUCUUGGAACAGAACGUCACAGAGGGUGAGAAUCCCGUGCGAUGAGAUGAUCCAGGCCUAUGUAAAGUUCCUUCGAAGAGUCGAGUUGUUUGGGAAUGCAGCUCUAAGUGGGUGGUAAAUUCCAUCUAAAGCUAAAUAUUGGCGAGAGACCGAUAGCGAACAAGUACAGUGAUGGAAAGAUGAAAAGAACUUUGAAAAGAGAGUGAAAAAGUACGUGAAAUUGUUGAAAGGGAAGGGCUUGAGAUCAGACUUGGUAUUUUGUAUGUUACUUCUUCGGGGGUGGCCUCUACAGUUUAUCGGGCCAGCAUCAGUUUGGGCGGUAGGAGAAUUGCGUUGGAAUGUGGCACGGCUUCGGUUGUGUGUUAUAGCCUUCGUCGAUACUGCCAGCCUAGACUGAGGACUGCGGUUUAUACCUAGGAUGUUGGCAUAAUGAUCUUAAGUCGCCCGUCUUGAAACACGGACC